rnacentral:rRNA from 1 species
AAAACGACUCUCGGCAACGGAUAUCUCGGCUCUCGCAUCGAUGAAGAACGUAGCGAAAUGCGGUACUUGGUGUGAAUUGCAGAAUCCCGUGAACCAUCGAGUUUUUGAACGCAAGUUGCGCCCCAAGCCAUUAGGCUGAGGGCACGUCUGCCUGGGUGUCACGC